GCCGCGCGAACGCGUACCCCCUCUGGCACAAAUUAUGACGUUCACUCUCCCACUUGAGGAGAUGAUGGGCCAACGCGCCCACCAAGUGCAAUGUGGGCCAUUGACCCAGGCGACGGGCCUUCUUGA
rnacentral:rRNA from 1 species